UCCUCGAUAGCUCAGUCGGUAGAGCGCCGGACUGUUAAUCCGUAGGUCCCCGGUUCGAGCCCGGGUCGAGGAGCCA
rnacentral:tRNA from 1 species